rnacentral:misc_RNA from 1 species
AUGUCGCAGCUGAAUUACUCAUGACAGAUUCACUUAAUGACAGAUACAAUAUCAACGUUUCCCGCACAAAAUCAAAGUAUAAACACUUACGUAAUCGUCGAUCAUUCGAAAUAUUUAAUACCUCGUUUCUACCACUAUUUUUUUCUUCUCGUUUUGGGCCAGCUAUGGAUGCUGAUUCGUUUCCGAAAACAUUGACCGAAUUUGGUUAUGCAUUUAAUGAAAAGGGACAGUUGCGAAUUAUUGACCCAGUCACGAAAGCUGCAGGAGAUUGUCCCUUUGAGUUUGAAGUGGAUAGAGACAAUAAUGAUUACAACCAACGACGCUAUGAAGCAUUAGGAGAAAUUAUUAACCAACACAUUUAUGAAUUGCUUGAGACUAGAGGGAAGCUUACAAAAACCUUCUUAAAAAAAGAAGGUUGCACUGAAACAUCUAAUGAAAUUGAGUCUUUCAUCUUUGUUAGUGAUGAUGUUUUCACCAAUGAUAAACUGAUUGUUUUAGUACAUGGUAGUGGUGUUGUUAGAGCUGGCCAGUGGGCUCGUAGGUUGAUAAUCAAUGACAGCCUGGAUACAGGAACACAAUUACCUUUCAUUGAAAUGGCCAGGCAGAAAGGCUAUGCUGUUAUAGUUACAAAUACAAAUGACAAUCAUAGGAUUAUUGACAGAAAGAAGAAAUUAAUCCAGGGUAGUGAAAAUCCAGUGAAUCAUUUGCUAUCAGUGUGGAAACAGGUGAUUGACAAAAGUCCGGCCAAACAUAUCGCAUUCAUUGCCCACAGCUACGGCGGCGUGUGCACAUUGGAAUUGGCAAGUCAAGUGGAGAAGAAAUUUCAAGAUAGCGUGUUUGCCUUGGCGAUGACGGAUUCCGUCCACAGCAUGGUCCACCAUGAGACGAUCGCGGCCGGCCUACAGCAAUUCCUUUGUCAGAUUGGGCGCAAUUGGGUAUCAUCCGGCCUACCGUUGGACACGCCAGUCGGAAGACCAGCCAACGAUAUCGAUCGCGUGUCGGCAGGUCACACGCAGCACGAGAUGACCUCUUACUGCAGCAUGUCCAGUAUAUUUCAGUUCCUGGAGGAAAAGUUGCAGGAGAAAUUGCAACAGCAACAAAACGGACAGUAACAAAAAAUCUCUCUGACCACCAGACCUUAUUUUAAUCCCAAUUUCCUAAUAGAAACUUUUUUUCCAAAUGUUAUUCCCAUUUCCCACGCACAAUUUUAACUCUCGGGUGACUGUUUAGGAGACCCAAAAGUGUGUAUCCCUUUUAUCCCUUAUCUCUCCUUUGCCCCCCUUCAACAAACAAAAAGAUUUUCGGUGCUUUGACUAAUUGACAUAUCUGUUUAUGGAGAGAGAGAGAAAGAGAAAAUGUCGUCCAGUACAAGCAGCUUGAACUUGAAACAAAGAAAGAAACGGACGUUGUUAAUGGUAAUUGGAUUCGUUUGUUGCCCCAAGCGUGACGCCGAGAUAUGAGAAAGAAAAAAAAACGAAGGGGGUUCGUGAAAAUUAGCGUCUGUUUAACCCUAUUUGGCUCGGCCAGUCACCUGUGCACACCGUCAAAAAGGUGUAGGGGAAGAGUCAGAGAAGACUGACACUCAGUCCGUCCUGUGCGAUGAAAAAAUGCGGCCGGGGAAUUGAAAAAAAGAAAAAGAAAACGGAGACAUUUCACACUGGAACGGUUUCCCCCCGUCGCUGCGGACCGACCCCUUCGAGCGUCCGUUACACGACAGAAGCCCCUGGAUCACGCAAGCCGAGAUUUCCGCCGCCGCCGACGACUUUUGCCUUAUUGGCUUUUGGCGGGGUGUCGUCAACGGAAGCCGUUCAAUUCAUCCCCCAAACAAAAAAGGGGAAAAAUGUUUCGGGAGAAAAAAGAAAAGGGGGAGGUUAUAGGGUUGAAUAAGAGAGAUGCGGGUGAACGGUCACGGGUAUCCCCCCUUUAAGACGCGUGCGCCAACGGGAUUUUCUUUUUUCCUAGACGCCGGGGUCGUCAUUGUAGAGGCCGAGAGGAAAGAUCGGGAGUGUCCGUGCGUGUCGGCGGCCAGUUACGCUACAACGGGCUACCGGCGCUUGGCCUCUCGGCCCCGCCCUCUGCUUUGACCCCCCUCCCCUUACUGUUUUUCUUUCAGAAAUUUUACCAGGGGAAAAGAAAGAGAAAUGGGAAACCGAAACGGCCAAAUCCAGGAAGAGGACAAACGACGUAUCGAGAGAAAAAAGAAUCCGCAAUAAUCGUUGACCGAAUUUUCGUCCGUCUCAGGAAAAAAAGUUUCCCCCCACUUUCCAGGGACCUUUGAUCUCCUGGAACUACACCGACUUCAUUUAAUAUCUUUUCCCUCCUUCGACUCAAAGAAUCACGGCGGUCCUUUUUGUUGUUUGAUUUUUUAAACUUGAUUCUUAAUUUUCAAUUUUUAAAAAAGAAAAAAAGGUAAAACUCUGGUAGGUUUGGGAGGGAUCAAAUCGUCAAUGUAUUACACUGUACACUGAGAAAUAACAUCCACACAUGAAAUUCUGUAGUGAAACAAACAAAAAAAAGAUAAGGGGGGACCACUGAUGAAAUCUCGGGAGGGGGUGACAAAUCAAUCAAGAAGUAAACAGUUAAACAAACCACACAUCAAUAAUUAUGAUUUAAUAAGAGAGAGCUGUCGAAUUUUUUUUUUCAUUUUUAAUUUUGUUGGGGGGGGAUUUACCAAAAAAAAAAUGAUAAAAGGAACUGUACACAACUUUGGCUUGACGCUGUUCACACACAUACACGUAUACAACAACAACAACACGAAAUUGAAUUUAUUAUUGUUUUUUUUGUAAUGAUUUUUCUUGUUUUUUUUUUUAAUCUUCUAGUGAAAACCGAGACGAGGGAAAAAUAUCAGACGUGAGUGAAUAGAAUAUGAAUAUUGUUUUGUUUCCUGCGUGUCCCACUUCAUAUAAUAUUUGUAUACCAAAUGAAUCCGAUAUAAUAGUAUAAUUAAUUAUUCAUUUCAAUA